AGAGCGAACGCUGGCGGCAGGCCUAAAACAUGCAAGUCGAACGGACCCUUCGGGGUUAGUGGCGGACGGGUGAGUAACACGUGGGAACGUGCCUUUUGGUUCAGAACAACUCAGGGAAACUUGAGCUAAUACUGAAUAAGCCCUACGGGGGAAAGAUUUAUCGCCAUUAGAGCGGCCCGCGUUGGAUUAGCUAGUUGGUGAGGUAAAGGCUCACCAAGGCUACGAUCCAUAGCUGGUCUGAGAGGAUGAUCAGCCACACUGGGACUGAGACACGGCCCAGACUCCUACGGGAGGCAGCAGUUAGGAAUCUUGCGCAAUGGGCGAAAGCCUGACGCAGCCAUGCCGCGUGAAUGAUGAAGGUCUUAGGAUUGUAAAAUUCUUUCAGCGGGAAGAUAAUGACUGUACCCGCAGAAGAAGCUCCGGCUAACUUCGUGCCAGCAGCCGC
rnacentral:rRNA from 1 species